rnacentral:rRNA from 1 species
GACGAACGCUGGCGGCGUGCUUAACACAUGCAAGUCGAACGGACAGGCCCGGCGUUUGUUGCGUUCUCGUGUGGCGAACGCGGGAGUAACACGUGAGGAACCUGCCCUUGACUGUGGGAUAACUUCAGGAAACUGGGGCUAAAACCGCGUAGGAGAUCCUGCUGCGUGGUGGGGAUUGGAAAGUUUCGGCGGUUGGGGAUGUACUCGCGGGUUACCAGCUUGUUUGUGGGGUAGGGGCGGUCCAGGGUUUUGACGGCUAGCCGGCCUGGGAGGGUGAACGGCCACAUUGGGACUGAGAUAGGGACCAGAAGCGUACGGGAGGCAGCAGUGGGGAACAUUGCAGAGUGGGGGGAAGCGUGAUGCAGCAACGCCGCGUGCGGAAUGCCGGCUUUCGGGUUGUAAACAGAUUUCGCAUGUGACGAAGCGUGAGUGACGGUAAUGGGUAAAGAAGCACCGGCUAACUACGUG